rnacentral:rRNA from 1 species
AGAGUUUGAUCCUGGCUCAGAUUGAACGCUGGCGGCAGGCCUAACACAUGCAAGUCGAACGGUAACAUUUCUAGCUUGCUAGAAGAUGACGAGUGGCGGACGGGUGAGUAAUGCUUGGGAACUUGCCUUUGCGAGGGGAAUAACAGUUGGAAACGACUGCUAAUACCGCAUAAUGUCUUCGGACCAAACGGGGCUUCGGCUCCGGCGCAAAGAGAGGCCCAAGUGAGAUUAGCUAGUUGGUAAGGUAACGGCUUACCAAGGCGACGAUCUCUAGCUGUUCUGAGAGGAAGAUCAGCCACACUGGGACUGAGACACGGCCCAGACUCCUACGGGAGGCAGCAGUGGGGAAUAUUGCACAAUGGGGGAAACCCUGAUGCAGCCAUGCCGCGUGUGUGAAGAAGGCCUUCGGGUUGUAAAGCACUUUCAGUUGUGAGGAAAAGUUAGUAGUUAAUACCUGCUAGCCGUGACGUUAACAACAGAAGAAGCACCGGCUAACUCCGUGCCAGCAGCCGCGGUAAUACGGAGGGUGCGAGCGUUAAUCGGAAUUACUGGGCGUAAAGCGCACGCAGGCGGUUUGUUAAGCUAGAUGUGAAAGCCCCGGGCUCAACCUGGGAUGGUCAUUUAGAACUGGCAGACUAGAGUCUUGGAGAGGGGAGUGGAAUUCCAGGUGUAGCGGUGAAAUGCGUAGAUAUCUGGAGGAACAUCAGUGGCGAAAGCGACUCCCUGG